UACAGAGGGUGCGAGCGUUAAUCGGAAUUACUGGGCGUAAAGAGCGUGUAGGCGGCCCGGUAAGUCCGCUGUGAAAGUCGGGGGCUCAACCCUCGAAUGCCGGUGGAUACUGUCGGGCUAGAGUGCGGAAGAGGCGAGUGGAAUUCCUGGUGUAGCGGUGAAAUGCGCAGAUAUCAGGAGGAACACCGAUUGCGAAGGCAGCUCGCUGGGACGUAACUGACGCUGAGACGCGAAAGCGUGGGGAGCAAACAGG
rnacentral:rRNA from 1 species